rnacentral:rRNA from 1 species
CAACUUUCAGCAAUGGAUCUCUUGGUUCUCGCAUCGAUGAAGARCGCAGUGAAAUGCGAUAACUGGUGUGAAUUGCAUCCAAGUAACUCUAAUUUACGAAUAACACCAAGUGAAUCAUCGAGUCUUUGAA